rnacentral:rRNA from 9 species
GUAGGGAAACUUACGCUAAUACCGCAUACGACCUACGGGUGAAAGCAGGGGAUCUUCGGACCUUGCGCGAUUGAAUGAGCCGAUGUCGGAUUAGCUAGUUGGCGGGGUAAAGGCCCACCAAGGCGACGAUCCGUAGCUGGUCUGAGAGGAUGAUCAGCCACACUGGAACUGAGACACGGUCCAGACUCCUACGGGAGGCAGCAGUGGGGAAUAUUGGACAAUGGGCGCAAGCCUGAUCCAGCCAUACCGCGUGGGUGAAGAAGGCCUUCGGGUUGUAAAGCCCUUUUGUUGGGAAAGAAAUCCAGCCGGCUAAUACCUGGUUGGGAUGACGGUACCCAAAGAAUAAGCACCGGCUAACUUCGUGCCAGCAGCCGCGGUAAU